UUUUUUUCUUUGAAACAAAGGGCAUAAAACAAUAUAUGAGAAUGAAAGCCCUAUAAAUUAAUUUAUAUUAUAAUUUCUGCAAUGCCUUUUUAUAUAAAUGGAAGUACAUAAUUUAUGGAGGAUGGUAUAUGUGAAUUGGAGACUCAAACCCCCUCAAACACACUCACUCAGGCAUGAUGUGAAGCACACUAACACUCUCAGGCAGUGUGCAGUUUGCAAUAGUAAAAAAAAAAAUCACUUUAAUACUGUGUGUUACAAUAAUAAAUGCAGGAAUUAGAGGGUUUUACCUCUCUACAAAUAAAUUAUGCAUAUGUAGUUUUAAAUUAGCCAAAUUAAAUGAUUAAAGACACUCCAUUCCUUCAUAAACUUGUCUCAGGAGUAAGGAAUGCAACAUACAAGCAGAGGUCUCUGGUUCCUCUGAGCCUUACUGUUUCAUUUGAAGCAAUCUUAGAUGCACUUCCCUUCCCUCACAGCUUUGCAAGGACAGAAGGGGUUUUGUUUUUUCUUCAGCUAAUUAUUUUCAGAUAAAAGCCAGUGUUGUGAUUAGAAGCACUAGUUUUGUUUGCAUUGGGAUGCUGCUGAGGCUGGAGAACUACUCUGGCUCCUCAGAAGUUAUCCUGCCCACAAUGAAUGGUUCCAACAUUUCUGCCCCCGGUUUUAACCAAGGUUUUCAAAUACCCACAGCUCUUCAUGACUGGGCUGGCAGUGGAAGUGGACAACACUCCUGAAAUGCAGGUCCACAGUGCCCUCUCUGCACAGAGUACCGUUGUGCCAGCCUGUCAGGGGGUCCAUGAUUUGCUGUGGUACUUGGCUCUGUGACUCACACGUGGCUACAAACAUCAUUGCCCAUCUUCCUGUGGGAGGGAGUUUAGGCCAUAUCUCAGCAGACAUUUCUCACUCAUUCCAUGAACUGGCACUGCAACCUUAAGCCAAAACUCACCCGUCACAAGAAGAAAGUGCAGUUUCAGGAGUGUUUCUUUCCCAGUAUUACCAGUGCUGUCUUACCCCCAUAUUACCAAACAGGGCUUGACUCUGCUACAUCCUAGAUACCAAAUUAGCUCAGUUUUUCCAGGGAAUGUUUGGGCAGUAUCUGUCACUCUCAAAGUAUUUAGCCCAAAGUAUCAUUUUAUAGGUGGAGAAACCAGCACAGGCAAAUAGAGCACCUUUCUUGAGGUCACAGAUUAGAGCAGUGCAAGAGCUGAGAUACUUGAUUAUCGCUGUGGGUCCUGCCCUUGGCCAGCACCAGCUCCACACACCACGGUAAUUUCAUCAGCUGAGCCACUGCAAGAUACUGGUUCAGCAUCACUUAGCACCUCCUGAGCAGCUUGGACCCUGGACAGCUCAGGCAUUUACAGAUGUUAAAACUUUCCAGGGCUGUAUGACCAAAAAUGUCUACUGAAAUCUGCAAGUUAAAACAAACAAAUAUCAAACAGGGAUAUCUACCUAAUAUAGAUUUCAACUGGAUUUUACAUGUAUCUGCUAGGGAGGAGUACACAAGCCUGUCACUCUAUGUAAAAAUGUGUAUUUUAGUGGAAUUCUCUCCCCAUAAAUCAGCUCAAAUGCUGAUGCUCAAAGCAGUGUGAAAGCAGAAGGAGUUUAAGUGAAGGCAGUGUGCGCAUGGCACAGUUCACAGAGCAUUUCUCCUUUAAUUCCACCUGUAAGUACAGUGUGCUGACAUAUGCAUUCAUUCACUGCAUUUUGACCAUAUUUUCCCUUCUUGCUAUGAAACCAGCCUCAGUUUUGUGUGUUGCAAGACAGAGAUGUCUCUCAAAACAUUCUUGGUGUUUUGGAGAAGACUCCCAUUUUCAACAGCAGAAGAAGUUGACUGCUCACAUCUGCAACAAUAGGGUUUUGGGAAGCAAGUCCUAGGUACAGGCAGUGGGAUCAGGAAACACAACAGACUUUAAACUACAACUUUAUGAAGUUUAUGAAUGGUAUUAUAUAUAAAUAUGAAAAGCAGAAUUUUCAGAAUCAGAUUUACUAAUCCAGAGGUUCCUGAGCAUUCUUGGUACAGUAAGCAUGCCAUCCAUCUUGGGAAUUAGGGUAGCUGUUCAAGGUAAUCACAUACUAAGGCUUCUAUGAUUCAGACACAAGGUAGUUACAAUGGACUCCAGAAUUUGGUUUAUGCUUUGGAGGAAAGUAGGGAGAAAUUACAGUCUCACAGUGCCAAUAUUGAUUCUGUGUGAUCCUAUGCAAAUAAGGAUCAAACUGCUUCCAAGAUGCUUUUUUUAAAUGCUGUAUAGAUCUGUAAUUGAGAGAAACACUGCAAGUUUCUGAUACAAAUACAUUCUCGUGGUGAAAUGGAGAUUAUUAGCUCAUUAUGUUUAUAGCAUGAACCAGAGAUUUUAGAUAUUAAUGGGGAAAAUGCACUGGAAAGAGUUGUGGUAUUUUGUUUAGAAACCUUCUCUUCCAGAGUUUUGCAUCUCUCACUGGCCAACUUGCCAUUGGGAUUUGGAAGAGUAGAGUGCAAUGUUCACACAAAACAAUGACAGACCAUGACGCUGUGAGCUCUUUGGAAUAUGGUUUAGUGGCAAGGUUGCCAGCUUGCCAUGUCCUCCAGCAACAGUUCAAUACAAGUAACCAGUGCUACAUUUUCUUUCCCCACCUGUUUGCAAAACUUUACCAGUAUGUGUUUUCAACAUCACAAGAAGCUGCUACAAGCUGGCAUCUAUGUGUGCACACCAAAAUGUGUAUCACGUGUCUAUGAAAACUGGGAAAUGCUUCACACUUUUAAAUCACUUAAGUUCUUGGGUUUGUGUUUGGAUUCUGUGUGGGAUAUGUGUGAAGGACAUAUGUGAAGGACAGAGACUACGGCAUCUGUGAGGGCAGGUACACAGUGGGGUUGCUGGAUAAAAAUGCAGGAGGAAUUGAGAAAAAAUUGAACUAAAGAGGACAUGAAAAUCUUGUCUCAGGAUGGAGAGAGGUGGCAGGGCUGCACCUCUGCUGCUCAUGUGUGUCAUUUGGCAGUAUCACUCAGAUCAGAUCCUACUCUUUCUUGCACAACUUCAGGUCACUCAUGACCGUGGUCUUUUCUGCAAGAGAACUUCAAUACACAGCCCACAGAGACAAUCAUAUCCAGGGCUGCACCAGAGCCAGCAUGACCAGCAGGUGGAGGGAGGUGACUCUCCUUGACUCUGCUCUCAGGAGACCCCACCAGGAGUGCUGCAUCCAGCUCUGGGACCACAAUACAGGAAGGAUGUGGACCCAUUGGAGUGAAUUCAGAGGAGGCGCACAGAGAUGAUUAGAGGGAUGGAAUCUCUCCUUGAUGAGGAAAGAAUGAGAGGACUGGGAUGUUUAGCCUAGAGAAGAGAAAGCUCCAGGGUAAGCUUAUUGAGGUCUCCCAGUACCUGAAGGGGUACAAGACACCUGUAGAGGGACUGUUAACAAGAACAAGGGGGAAUGACUUCAGAGCAAAAAGUGGGAUGUUUAGAUUAAAUAUUAGGAAGAAAUUCUUUACUGUAAGGAUGGUGAGGCACUGGUACAGGUUGCCCAGAGAAGCUGUGGGUGCCCCAUCCCUGGAAGUGUUCAAGGCCAGUUUGGAUGCAUCUUUCAGCAGCCUGGUCUCAGGUGUCCCUGCCCAUGGCAGCUGGUUGGAAUGAGAAGAUCUUCAAGGUCCCUUACAAUCCAAACCAUUCUAUGAUUUAUGAUUGUGAAGGCUUGCACAGACCCUGGUAAGAGACUCUACAGCUCUGACACCGUUUAUGAACAUCUCUGGCAUGAGCACUACCUGAGCAGAGGCAUUUCUUUUGGAUCAUUCCAAAAGAAUGGGAGAUGCCUACCUCAGGAAUUGCCUGGUGCAGAUGCAGAUGAUCCCUGUUUUUCCUUACUGGCUGUACAAACUACCUCCUGAACAUGAAGACGUUUAACAAGAGCCAAAACACUCACUCUGUGCAGUCCUUGUCCUGUACAGUAAAAGGAGAAAGUACCUGGAGAGACAAGUUUUUGAUUCAACCCACUAUUGGGAAAACUGAAUUUGGAGCUGAACUUCACAAAGAAGUUAUGUUCUGUUGUUUUUCUGAAAUUAUGACUAAAUGUGAAAAGUGUGGAGUUUAGCAAUCUCUGUUCCAAGAAAAUGUACUGGAGAACAUGUCCCUAUUUUUAUCUAUGCAAGUAAAAAUAUUCCAGGAGACAUUAAACUUGACUGUAGAAUUACUUGUACGAUCAUGGCAUGCAGCACAUGAACUUCAGGAGAUUAAAAAAAACCACCAACACUGGACUUAUGAAAAUUUUAAAAAUCAUCUUAAAAAAAAAAAUUAAGAAGACAUAACAAUUGCAGGCACUGUAAGUUAAGAUAAUCACAAAGCUCUUACAUUUUUGUCCAAAAUACUUGCUAAAAGGGAUCAUGUAACCUGAGAGCUUUUUAAUGCUCUUGAAUUCAAAGCCAGAUAUCAAACAACCAGAAUACAGGCUCUACCUGUGUACUGUGAAAACUACAUAAUCAAUUGCAGUGAUGGAACCCAAUGGAAGUGCCAAAGAGAAUUAAGACCAAGUGGACUACUGAAGGACUUUGAUAUUUAACCAGGAAAAUUGGCAAUCAAAAAGAGAAAUACCACCAUAAACAACUUUGGUGUUAUGAGCAACUAUAUAUAUUCCAGUGGAAGAAUCUUUGAGGACUACAGAAAAAUUAGAGGAACAAAGAGGGGAGGUCCUAAAAUCGGUUUCAGGCUGGAAGAAACUUACAGCAAGAGGCCUUCUGUGUCUCUCUCAUCAAAAGAAGAAGCCUGGGAGGUAAACUUGACUAUUUCAUACAAGUAUAUUCACAGAGGGAAAUUUCCAGGGACUAGAGAGAGAGUUUUUGCAUCCAGCAAAACAAAGCAGUACAAAAUCUACCAUUAGGACCUGAAGCAAUAGGAAAAUUUUGUUUUUGAAAGUGAGAGUCAUCAAAUAUUGAAACCAGCUGCCAAGAAUAGCAACAGAAUCACCAUUUUCCCCUAUCUUUGUAUCAACACUGGAUGCCUUUGCCUUGGACAAGUGCACAUUAUGGACAUAUAACAGCAACCUUUCAAACAACUUGGUGGCACCUUCUCCUUCAUUUUUUUUGGACUGGUGAGCUCCUGUAGACAAAUCCCAGCUGACCAAAGCAGCUGUACUCUCUAGGAGCCCAAGAAGACUGAAGAUGAUGGACAGCCAUAUCAACCUCUACCAAGGCUGAUAUAUCACUUACACACUGCAUUUGACUUGAAACUCUUGAAACUAGACCAGAAAGGUCCAAAAGCUGAAAAGAUUUGCCUCAAAGAGACAACUGAAAGUCUUCAGGUCAGCAGAAAAUGGGACUUCUCUCCACCUGGAAAUAAAGAUACUUUAGAUAUCACAGCCUCUCAUACACAGUGUAAAUCUGUGUCAGUAAAACAGAAUGUUUUGUAAAAUCAUUCAUAAAUGAAAGGGAGUAAAUUUGUAACAAGUGCAAUGAACUUUUUGAGAAUAAAAGGAACAGAUGAAACAGUGUGCAAAUAGCAAUGGAAUUCUUUUUCCUAUUGUUUUGAUGAUCUUUUUCAUUAGCAGAAACUUCCUACAGGUGGUCAAAAAAGACAUCCAUCAAAACUCAAGAGCAGAAAACAUUUAAUCAGCCCCUAGACAUUACAUAUAUUUCAUUUAAGUUUUAAUUAAUAAAUUUGAUUACUGCAAAGCAGUUAUGACAAACUUCACCAAGAGCUUGGAUGUAGUUUCUCAAUAAACAGUUUUCUUAAACAGUAUUUAAGACAUAUAAAAUGAGCACAAUCAUAUACCAGAGAAAUACAAUUAAAGCAUUCACUAGCUACAUUUUCCUCUCCAAGCCAAAAUUCACUCCCUCAUCA